rnacentral:rRNA from 1 species
AUUGAACGCUGGCGGCAGGCUUAACACAUGCAAGUCGAGCGGGCGAGGUUGCUUCGGUAACCUAGCUAGCGGCGGACGGGUGAGUAAUGCUUAGGAAUCUGCCUAUUAGUGGGGGACAACAUUCCGAAAGGGAUGCUAAUACCGCAUACGUCCUACGGGAGAAAGCAGGGGCUCUUUAUGACCUUGCGCUAAUAGAUGAGCCUAAGUCGGAUUAGCUAGUUGGUGGGGUAAAGGCCUACCAAGGCGACGAUCUGUAGCGGGUCUGAGAGGAUGAUCCGCCACACUGGGACUGAGACACGGCCCAGACUCCUACGGGAGGCAGCAGUGGGGAAUAUUGGACAAUGGGGGGAACCCUGAUCCAGCCAUGCCGCGUGUGUGAAGAAGGCCUUUUGGUUGUAAAGCACUUUAAGUGGGGAGGAGGCUUACCUGGUUAAUACCUGGGCUAAGUGGACGUUACCCACAGAAUAAGCACCGGCUAACUCUGUGCCAGCAGCCGCAGUAA